AUCUCUUCUUGGCCUUUUGGCUAAGAUCAAGUGUAACAUCUGUUCUUAUUUUAAUAUCUGAUAUGGCUUCUAUCUGAGGGCAAUGUAUUAAACAGAUUUUUGGAGCAGGGAGAUGGAAUAGGAGCUCGCUCAAUCCACUCUACACACUGACCUGGAAUUGUAGUAUCUCUGGGAAUGGUGAAUCCCGU